GACGAACGUUGGCGGCGUGCUUAACACAUGCAAGUCGAACGGAAAGGCCCUGCUUUUGUGGGGUGCUCGAGUGGCGAACGGGUGAGUAACACGUGAGUAACCUGCCCUUGACUUUGGGAUAACUUCAGGAAACUGGGGCUAAUACCGGAUAGGAGCUCCUGCUGCAUGGUGGGGGUUGGAAAGUUUCGGCGGUUGGGGAUGGACUCGCGGCUUAUCAGCUUGUUGGUGGGGUAGUGGCUUACCAAGGCUUUGACGGGUAGCCGGCCUGAGGGGGUGACCGGCCACAUUGGGACUGAGAUACGGCCCAGACUCCUACGGGAGGCAGCAGUGGGGAAUAUUGCACAAUGGGCGGAAGCCUGAUGCAGCAACGCCGCGUGCGGGAUGACGGCCUUCGGGUUGUAAACCGCUUUCGCCUGUGACGAAGCGUGAGUGACGGUAAUGGGUAAAGAAGCACCGGCUAACUACGUGCCAGCAGCCGCGGUGAUACGUAGGGUGCGAGCGUUGUCCGGAUUUAUUGGGCGUAAAGGGCUCGUAGGUGGUUGAUCGCGUCGGAAGUGUAAUCUUGGGGCUUAACCCUGAGCGUGCUUUCGAUACGGGUUGACUUGAGGAAGGUAGGGGAGAAUGGAAUUCCUGGUGGAGCGGUGGAAUGCGCAGAUAUCAGGAGGAACACCAGUGGCGAAGGCGGUUCUCUGGGCCUUUCCUGACGCUGAGGAGCGAAAGCGUGGGGAGCGAACAGGCUUAGAUACCCUGGUAGACCACGCUGUAAACGGUGGGUACUAGGUGUGGGGUCCAUUCCACGGGUUCCGUGCCGUAGCUAACGCUUUAAGUACCCCGCCUGGGGAGUACGGCCGCAAGGCUAAAACUCAAAGGAAUUGACGGGGCCCCGCACAAGCGGCGGAGCAUGCGGAUUAAUUCGAUGCAACGCGUAGAACCUUACCUGGGUUUGACAUGGAUCGGGAGUGCUCAGAGAUGGGUGUGCCUCUUUUGGGGUCGGUUCACAGGUGGUGCAUGGCUGUCGUCAGCUCGUGUCGUGAGAUGUUGGGUUAAGUCCCGCAACGAGCGCAACCCUUGUUCACUGUUGCCAGCACGUUAUGGUGGGGACUCAGUGGAGACCGCCGGGGUCAACUCGGAGGAAGGUGGGGAUGACGUCAAGUCAUCAUGCCCCUUAUGUCCAGGGCUUCACGCAUGCUACAAUGGCUGGUACAGAGAGUGGCGAGCCUGUGAGGGUGAGCGAAUCUCGGAAAGCCGGUCUCAGUUCGGAUUGGGGUCUGCAACUCGACCUCAUGAAGUCGGAGUCGCUAGUAAUCGCAGAUCAGCAACGCUGCGGUGAAUACGUUCCCGGGGCU
rnacentral:rRNA from 1 species